rnacentral:rRNA from 1 species
AUACGAAAGGUGCAAGCGUUGUUCGGAUUUACUGGGCGUAAAGAGAGUGUAGGUGGUUUAUUAAGUCGGAUGUGAAAUCCCGGGGCUCAACCUCGGAACUGCAUUCGAUACUGAUAGGCUAGAGUUUGGGAGGGGUAAGCGGAAUUCCGUGUGUAGCAGUGAAAUGCGUAGAUGUACGGAGGAACACCUGAGGCGAAGGCGGCUUACUGGACCAAUACUGACACUGAGACUCGAAAGCGUGGGUAGCAAACAGGAUUAGAUACCCUAGUAGUCC